rnacentral:rRNA from 1 species
GACGAACGCUGGCGGCGUGCUUAACACAUGCAAGUCGAACGGAAAGGCCCUGCUUUUGUGGGGUGCUCGAGUGGCGAACGGGUGAGUAACACGUGAGUAACCUGCCCUUGACUUUGGGAUAACUUCAGGAAACUGGGGCUAAUACCGGAUAGGAGCUCCUGCUGCAUGGUGGGGGUUGGAAAGUUUCGGCGGUUGGGGAUGGACUCGCGGCUUAUCAGCUUGUUGGUGGGGUAGUGGCUUACCAAGGCUGUGACGGGUAGCCGGCCUGAGAGGGUGACCGGCCUCAUUGGGACUGCGAUACGGCGCAGACUCCUACGGGAGGCAGAAGUGGGGAAUCUUGCACAGUGGGCGGACGCCUGAGGCAGCAACGCCGCGUGCGGGAUGACGGCCUUCGGGUUGUAAACCGCUUUCGCCUGUGACGAAGCGUUAGUGACGGUAAUGGGUAAAGAAGCACCGGCUAACUACGUG